rnacentral:rRNA from 1 species
UGCCAGCCGCCGCGGUAACACGGGGGGCGCAAGCGUUAUUCGGAAUUAUUGGGCGUAAAGGGCGCGCAGGCGGUCUUGUCCGUCAGGUGUGAAAGCUCGGGGCUCAACCCCGGAAGUGCACUUGAAACUGCAUUGCUAGAGGACGGAAGAGGAGAAUGGAAUUCCCAGUGUAGAGGUGAAAUUCGUAGAUAUUGGGAAGAACACCAGUGGCGAAGGCGAUUCUCUGGUCCGUAUCUGACGCUGAGGUGCGAAAGCGUGGGGAGCAAACAGGAUUAGAUA